rnacentral:tRNA from 1 species
AGGGACUUAGGAUAGCAUCAGACCAAGGGCCUUCAAAGCCCUCAGCAGAAGUGAAAAUCUUCUAGUCCCUG